AUUGAACGCUGGCGGUAUGCUUAACACAUGCAAGUCGAACGGCAGCACAGUAUGUAGCAAUACAUAUGGGUGGCGAGUGGCGGACGGGUGAGUAACGCGUAGGAAUCUACCCUAAAGCGGGGGACAACCCGAGGAAACUCGGGCUAAUACCGCAUAAUCUCGAAAGAGUAAAGCGGGGGCAAACUGACACUUUAGGAGGAGCCUGCGUACGAUUAGCGAGUUGGUGAGGUAAAGGCUCACCAAGGCGAUGAUCGGUAGCUGGUCGGAGAGGAUGAUCAGCCACACUGGGACUGAGACACGGCCCAGACUCCUACGGGAGGCAGCAGUGGGGAAUAUUGGACAAUGGGGGCAACCCUGAUCCAGCAAUACCGCGUGUGUGAAGAAGGCCUUAGGGUUGUAAAGCACUUUAGUUGGGGAAGAAGGAUAGUUGUUUAAGAGAUGAUUAUUUUGAUGGUACCCAAAGAAUAAGCACCGGCUAACUCUGUGCCAGCCGCCGCUGUAA
rnacentral:rRNA from 1 species